rnacentral:lncRNA from 1 species
GCUUCUUAUGUCUAUCAUCAAUGAGACACUAGAAAAAUGAAAGAGUCAUGAAUCAACCUCAGCCCGAAGAGAUUUCAUGAAAUCAUUCUCCAAUUUCAAUCAAAUCCCAUCACAAAAUUGACCACUGAAGAAUCAAAAACAGAGGCCACUUAGUCAAAAAAAACUCUGAAACUCCAUAAACGAAUCCCACUCUUCAGCUUUCACUAUCCUUUGUUCCUUACACAACUUCACAACAAGACAUUACAAUGGUGUUUAUUAGAAGUAAAGUUUCAAAAUCCAUGGAAGCCAUUGAUUCUAUUGAGGUACCUUGUAAUACUCCUCGAGUCCUCAUCCUCGAAAUGAAGAUUUGAGCAGAUGGGCUUUUGGAGGUUGGAAUCAAAGGAAGCAUCGGAUUUGAGGGGGUUUUCGAACAUUCUCUUGGCUAUUUAGAGUUGAUUUCUCUUCCAAGUUGUGUCGUCUCCAUUUUUGUUGUUACAGUGGCCGAGCUUUUU